rnacentral:rRNA from 1 species
ACGUGAUCUGAGUUCAGACCGGAGUAAUCCAGGUCAGUUUCUAUCUAUAAGGAGUUUUUUCUAGUACGAAAGGAUCGAAAAAGCACGGCUAAUGCCCACUCAAGCCGUAACUAGCAAUCUAUGGCGCUUAAUAGACACCUAGCCCCCCUCCCCGCCUUAGAAAAAGGUA